GAGGCCUACUAGCUAGCCUAACACAAAAAGCAACCACCACUAUUAAUAACCCCUCAAACAAUUAAAUUCAAAAAUAAACCAUUUUUCCCCCUAGUACAGGCGAUAAAAAAGGAACAUAGAGCUAUAGAGAAAGUACCGCAAGGGAAUGCUGAAAGAGAACUGAAAAAAUUUAGUUAAGCCUAAAAAAGCAGAGAUUUAAACUCGUACCUUUUGCAUCAUGAUUUAGCUAGUGUAACCUGAGCAAAGUGCCCUUUAGUUCAUUACCCGAAACUAAGUGAGCUACUCCAAGACAGCCUAUUAUAGGGCGAACCCGUCUCUGUUGCAAAAGAGUGGGAAGAGCUUUGAGUAGAGGUGAUAAACCUACCGAACUUAGUAAUAGCUGGUUGCCCGAGAUUUGAAUAGAAGUUCAGCCCUUAAGCUUCUCUUUGCGUAUUUAUUUCCCCCCUUUUCCCACACCCAGAAGUUUAAGGAGUUAUUCAAAGAGGGUUCAGCCCCUUUGAAAUAAGAUACAACUUUACUAGGAGGGUAAAGAUCAUA
rnacentral:rRNA from 1 species